AACUCAUUAAUUACAUAGUAUGUAAUUCGCGCCGAGUUCGAUAAUCAAAAACCAACGCGAUUUCGUUCUCGAUUCCCGGACGAUAUAUCAACGUUGUUAUUAUGAUUUGUGCUCGUCGCCGGGUUUAUCCUGCCUCUUUUUCUCAUCCGGCCGAUGAUUAAUUUUGAUGUCUGGAUGGCUUCUCCUGUUGUACGCGGACGAUUUCGGUUGCGGAACGAGUCAAUUUUCCAUUGCAUAUUUUUAGCAAGCUUUGGUUUAAGGACGCAUUUAACUCGAAUGGGUUUCAUUCGUUUGUUCUGGAAGGGAAUUAUUCCGUAAGGAAAUAGAUUGAAUUAUGUGUAAGAUCGUGCUAUCGGUCUUCGAAUCCAUGCUCUCCAGGAAGCAGAGUGAACCUGUAAUUUUGACUCGUUCCGCAAAAAUUUCAUUUUGUUUGUCCCAUUUGGACGGGGAAUACUUUGGAUUGCAGUAAAGAAGAGGCUAAUGAAUUUUCGAAGUUCUGCCAUAGUGCAAGGUUACCUCUGGAUGUUGCUGUGGAGGGGAUGUCGAGCAAAUUAUCAUUUGUUUUGUGCGUAGUUUUGUAGAAUCGUAUUCAGAAGAUAGUUCGACGGAAACGCUGUGAUCUCGUGUUCCAUAUCGAAACUCUCGAUCGCCGUAAAUAAUUCAAGCCGUGGUAACGGCGGGCAGGUCGUCUUUAAGCGUCGCCCAUGAAACCGAGAGUGAAGAGUCAAAACACGAGGCGGGAACGCGAGAAAUCAUGUCACCACGGAAGUGGUCGGGCCAGGAGGGAGAGCUCGAUAGUUAUAUUCCGAUUCAGCGAGGUCUCGAAAGUGGACCGUUGUGCGGGUUAUGGUUUUCUCUUGGUCUCCGACCAGGCUACACAGGAGGGUUGGCAUCCCUUGCAACGACUACGGCGACACCGGGAUCGACCAGGCUUCCUCUCUUUUCAAGGAGAAAGAGGAGGGUUGCUCGGCCGGGCUCCUUUGAUUUCACCUUGCAACGCAUGUUGCCUGACAUUGAUUUUCCUUUCCCUCUUACUCGUCAUUCCACCACUUUCCUUUUCUGCUGCUCCUCGCUCAUCGCAACUUCCACGGAAUAUUAAUGUUGAUCCUGUGUUAACACGUACCUCAUUGAAUGAAAACGAAAAAUUUUCGUAGAGCUUUUGGAAUGAAAAAAAAAAAAAAAAGAAAUGAUAAAACUUCUAUUUAAUUAAAAAGAUAGUGAUUAACGAUGGAUAAUAACGAUUUCUCUACAAAUUUCCUGUCAACGAUUCAAUGGUCGUAAGUUUAGAAUCUGCCUUUUGGAUAGAUACUCGUGUUUUUAAACGUGUUUUUUUAAACAGUAAAUUGAAAAAGUAUAUUUAUUCGCUGAAUUCCGGUAAACACAUUCGUUAACGAAUAUUCGCCAAUUUUUACGAAUAUUCAUGUACCAAUAUUCGUUAAGUAUGGUCUCUGUACAUUCAUUGCCCGACAUCGAUAUUCAUUAUUCAUAUUCUCUAUAGAAAAAAUUAAAUAUCCAUUUACAAAUGUUACGCGAGACACGGUUGGUAAUUGUUUGAAGUGGUUAAAAAGCUAUCUCUGCUGCAUUAUGUAAUAUUUUUCACAUAGUUCUUUAGACAUUCGUUUAUUCGUCGAUCUCGAUACAAUAUUCGUAAGUUGGCGUAAAUAAUGUUCGAAUAAUAGAAAAAGCUUUAAUCGUGCACCACCGGUGGCAUACCCGAUCGAAAAUAUAUUAACUUCACUCUCACUAUUUUCGUUUAUAAUAAAUUUUUCCUUAUCGUGAUUGAAAUGACUCUGUUCCCUUUUUCGUCCCUUCGUAUCCGUUCCUUUUGUACCGUUCCCUCCGUUUAGUUGCGACCGAUCAGCCACAGGCUGCCGCCCAGUCGACGACGACCAA